GAGGGGUUCAGCAACAGGGAGAGUUUGGGCAAACUGGGAUUGUUGUCUCUGGAACACCUCUGGUUGACGGAAGACCAGAUAGAAGUAUCUAAAAUUAUGGGAAGCAUAGUAAUUAUGGGGAGAUAGUCAGAACGUUUCUUCCCAGGGUGGAAAUAUCAAUGACUAGAGGGCAUACACGUGCGUGUUUGUAGCUGACUUGUCCCUCUGUAAAAUGACCGUGGGAUGUAGGGAGUGGAUGAGAAAGUGAGAUAACGUAAAACUAGUGUGAACGGGUGAUCGCAGGUCGGCACAGACACGGUGGGCUGGAUCUGGAUCUGGCAAUCGAAAGCUUCAAAGAUAAAAAGUGUUCGAUUUCUGAAGGCUUCUCGCUGCAGACUCCGUUCC